rnacentral:lncRNA from 1 species
CCGGUCAACAGCUGGGGCCUGACCCAGCUGGACCCACUACAGGGUGACAGGCUGUUUGGGAAACAAUUUCUCUCCAGAGUCAGCAGGACUGGCCUGGGAGAGGAGGGCCAGCCAUGGUCUCCGCACACAAAGAAGUGACAGUCCUGAGCAGAGCCACUAGAAUGAGCAAGUGGAGAGCAAGUUAGAGUGAAGAGUGGAGGUGAGAGGAAGUGGGCUGCCUGCCAUCCUGAGAAAGAAAAGGGGAGCUGGCAGCCUAACCCAGCUCCCUCCAGAGAGCUCUCUGAUUAGAGCAAAAAAGCAAAACCUCACCAUCUCCUGCAAGCACUGGGAAAGCUCCCUUCAGAGUCAGGGCUGAAAAUUCACAGGACGCUUGCCGAGUGGGACUCCAGGCCCCCACGGGAGCAAGCAGACGAAGGAGAGAAGAAUCAGUGCUAGAAAAUUCUAUCUACAAGAGCCUUCUAAUUCAAGACAAAUGAGUUUUCUAGGGGUUCUGAAAGUGGUGAAUGAGAAUGAUCACAAUGGGAAUGAAGCCUAAUGUUAUUCCUCAAACAAUGGGAGCAUCCUGGAGGCCUAGAAAGAUGCAGACAUUUGUUUUUAAUGUAAUGUUAGCAUGGCCAGAGCUCGGUUUCAUAUUUUAUGUCCUACUCGAUCAUUAUCAAUAGCUAAUGUAGUGAAUGCUUUCUAAUGGAAGGCCCUGUGCUUAGCAUUUACAUGAAUAUUUCUCUGAACCAUCACAAUUUAAUUUCAUAGCAUUAAUUAUAAUUUUAAGCAGAAGGUUUCAAGAUGUUGGUGACCAAGAUGUUAAAAUGUUUCUGUGCAACACAUUUCCCACAACCUGCUGUAAACUAAGUACUGUAUAAUUAUAGUGCUGAGCAUAUACUAGGUUAUUCUAGGAUGUCAAGGUCACACUUGCCCCGGAGAUUUCUGGCUCUGAACCUCAUGCACCUGUUUUGCGAUCUAUAAAGAGGAGUGUUUCCCCAUC